AACGUAGGACGCAAGCGUUAUCUGGAGUUACUGGGCGUAAAGCGCGGGCAGGCGGUCGGUCAAGUCUGAUGUGAAAUCUCUCCGCUCAACGGGGAGCAGCCAUUGGAAACUGGUCGACUGGAGUCUGGCAGAGGUAGGCGGAAUUCCGGGUGGAGUGGUGAAAUGCGUAGAGAUCCGGAGGAACACCAGAGGCGAAGGCGGCCUACUGGGCCAGUACUGACGCUGAGCCGCGAAAGCCAGGGGAGCGAACGGG
rnacentral:rRNA from 1 species